rnacentral:rRNA from 1 species
GACAGAGGAUGCAAGCGUUAUCCGGAAUGAUUGGGCGUAAAGCGUCUGUAGGUGGCUUUUUAAGUCUGACCGUCAAAUCCCAGGGCUUAACCCUCGGACAGGCGGUGGAAACUACCAAGCUGGAGUACGGUAGGGGGCAGAGGGAAUUUCCGGUGGAGCGGUGAAAUGCGUAGAGAUCGGAAAGAACACCAACGGCGAAAGCACUCUGCUGGGCCGACACUGACACUGAGAGACGAAAGCUAGGGGAGCGAAUGGG